UACGUAGGGUGCGAGCGUUGUCCGGAAUUACUGGGCGUAAAGAGCUCGUAGGUGGUUUGUCGCGUUGUUCGUGAAAACUCACAGCUUAACUGUGGGCGUGCGGGCGAUACGGGCAGACUGGAGUACUGCAGGGGAGACUGGAAUUCUUGGUGUAGCGGUGAAAUGACGCAGAUAUCAGGAAGAACACCAGCGGCGAAGGCGGCGCUCUGGGCCGGAACUGACGCUGAGGAGCGAAAGCGUGGGUAGCAAACAGG
rnacentral:rRNA from 1 species